rnacentral:rRNA from 1 species
UACAUUAGAUACCCCUGUAGUCCCAGCCGUAACUAUGCUCGCUAGGUGUCAGGCAUGGCGCGACCGUGUCUGGUGCCGCAGGGAAGCCGUGAAGCGAGCCACCUGGGAAGUACGGCCGCAAGGCUGAAACUUAAAGGAAUUGGCGGGGAGCACCACAACGGGUGGAGCCUGCGGUUUAAUUGGACUCAACGCCGGGAAGCUCACCGGAUAAGACAGCGGAAUGAUUGCCGGGCUGAAGACUCUGCAUGACUAGCUG